AUUCCGGAAAGCAUUAGAGAGUGCCCCCCUUGUGGUCGGUGUACAGGUGGUGUGGCUGUCGUCAGCUCGUGUCGUAAGAUGUUUAAGUCCCGCAACGAGCGCAACCCUUGUCCCGUGUUGCUGCAGCAACUCUUCGGAGGUUGGGGACUCACGGGAGACCGCCGCAACUCGGAGGA
rnacentral:rRNA from 1 species